GGUCACGAGCGCAAAUCCAGGCGAAGCGGCACGGUUGUCAUCCGUGUGUUGGCGGGUUCGAUCCCCGUCGUGACCG
rnacentral:tRNA from 1 species